rnacentral:rRNA from 1 species
GAUGAACGCUGGCGGCGUGCCUAAUACAUGCAAGUCGAGCGAACGGACGAGAAGCUUGCUUUUCUGAUGUUAGCGGCGGACGGGUGAGUAAAACGUGGAUAACCUACCUAUAAGACUGGGAUAACUUCGGGAAACCGGAGCUAAUACCGGAUAAUAUUUUGAACCGCAUGGUUCAAAAGUGAAAGACGGUCUUGCUGUCACUUAUAGAUGGAUCCGCGCUGCAUUAGCUAGUUGGUAAGGUAACGGCUUACCAAGGCAACGAUGCAUAGCCGACCUGAGAGGGUGAUCGGCCACACUGGAACUGAGACACGGUCCAGACUACUACGGGAGGCAGCAGUAGGGAAUCUUCCGCAAUGGGCGAAAGCCUGACGGAGCAACGCCGCGUGAGUGAUGAAGGUCUUCGGAUCGUAAAACUCUGUUAUUAGGGAAGAACAUAUGUGUAAGUAACUGUGCACAUCUUGACGGUACCUAAUCAGAAAGCCACGGCUAACUACGUG